GCUGAAUCCAGAGCAUCAAAAUCUUUACUUCAGGAGAAAGAAACUCUCAUUACUGACCUUCAAAAUGAGCUAAAUCAAGCAAGGGAUGAAUGUUCACAUUUAACUGAACUUCUUGCGGAAAAGACUAAAGGUUUGGAAUUGCUUAUGGCUGAGCACCAGGACCUUAAAGCACAACUUGAAGCAAUGACUCUGAGAGCAAACAAUGCUGAGGCAGAAA
rnacentral:misc_RNA from 1 species